rnacentral:rRNA from 1 species
CUACGGGUCGCACCAGUGGGGAAUAUUGCACAAUGGGCGCAAGCCUGAUGCAGCCAUGCCGCGUGUAUGAAGAAGGCCUUCGGGUUGUAAAGUACUUUCAGCGGGGAGGAAGGGAGUAAAGUUAAUACCUUUGCUCAUUGACGUUACCCGCAGAAGAAGCACCGGCUAACUCCGUGCCAGCAGCCGCGGUAAUACGGAGGGUGCAAGCGUUAAUCGGAAUUACUGGGCGUAAAGCGCCCGCAGGCGGUUUGUUAAGUCGGAUGUGAAAUCCCCGGGCUCAACCUGGGAACUGCAUCUGAUACUGGCAAGCUUGAGUGUGGUAGAGGGGGGUAGAAUUCCAGGUGUAGCGGUGAAAUGCGUAGAGAUCUGGAGGAAUACCGGUGGCGAAGGCGGCCCCCUGGACGAAGACUGACGCUCAGGUGCGAAAGCGUGGGGAGCAAACAGGAUUAGAUACCCGUGUAGUC